UACGUAGGGUGCAAGCGUUGUCCGGAAUUAUUGGGCGUAAAGAGCUCGUAGGCGGUGUGUCGCGUCGGCCGUGAAAACCUGGGGCUCAACUCUGGGCGUGCGGUCGAUACGGGCAUCACUUGAGUUCGGCAGGGGAGACUGGAAUUCCUGGUGUAGCGGUGAAAUGCGCAGAUAUCAGGAGGAACACCGGUGGCGAAGGCGGGUCUCGUGGCUCAUUGACUGACGCUCGAGGCGCGACA
rnacentral:rRNA from 1 species